rnacentral:rRNA from 1 species
UACGAGGGGGGCAAGCGUUGUUCGGAAUUAUUGGGCGUAAAGGGCGCGUAGGCGGUUUUGUAAGUCGUGUGUGAAAUCUUCAGGCUCAACCUGAAGUCUGCACACGAAACUGCAGGGCUUGAGUAUGGGAGAGGUGAGUGGAAUUCCUGGUGUAGCGGUGAAAUGCGUAGAUAUCAGGAGGAACACCUGUGGCGAAAGCGGCUCACUGGACCAUUACUGACGCUGAGGCUCGAAAGCUAGGGGAGCAAACAGG